rnacentral:rRNA from 1 species
GAUGAACGCUGGCGGCGUGCCUAAUACAUGCAAGUCGAGCGAACAGACGAGGAGCUUGCUCCUCUGACGUUAGCGGCGGACGGGUGAGUAACACGUGGAUAACCUACCUAUAAGACUGGGAUAACUUCGGGAAACCGGAGCUAAUACCGGAUAAUAUAUUGAACCGCAUGGUUCAAUAGUGAAAGACGGUUUUGCUGUCACUUAUAGAUGGAUCCGCGCCGCAUUAGCUAGUUGGUAAGGUAACGGCUUACCAAGGCAACGAUGCGUAGCCGACCUGAGAGGGUGAUCGGCCACACUGGAACUGAGACACGGUCCAGACUCCUACGGGAGGCAGCAGUAGGGAAUCUUCCGCAAAGGGCGAAAGCCUGACGGAGCAACGCCGCGUGAGUGAUGAAGGUCUUCGGAUCGUAAAACUCUGUUAUUAGGGAAGAACAAAUGUGUAAGUAACUAUGCACGUCUUGACGGUACCCAAUCAGAAAGCCACGGCUAACUACGUG